rnacentral:lncRNA from 1 species
GUAUUGGUUCACCUCCACACUGGCUGGACAUGCAGAUACCUGCUACUAACAGGAGUCAGUCAUCUUAUGCAUUAAGCAACUUAACACGUUGCUGUCCCUAACUCCAACUUACUGGAUUUUAACAAUAACCGAGCAUCAAGAAGGGAUAUUUACCAAUAACUUGGAGGACCCAUAACUUCACUGUCUUCUUGCCGCUGCAACCUGCUGCCACGAAUCAUUUCCACCUGCUACAGAUCCCUUGCCACAGCACUCCAGUCCCGAUUUUCCCUCGGGCCUCUAGAUACCAUCACAGCAGCAUCAUCCUAUUAGCACAUAUUUUCUGAAUGCUUAAUUACCAGAUGAGGAAACUAGAGCCCAGAGAGGUUAAGUAACUUGCUCCACUCACAUGCCUGGCCGUGUGCGCUAGCAGGUACGGGAGUCUCCAACCACUCCACCUGU